rnacentral:lncRNA from 1 species
CACCUGUGUGGUAGUAAGGUGCAGAAUUACUCAAUGCCCACUUCAAGUUUACCAUUGAGAUGAUUUCCCACCCCCCUCCUCUAACUGGCACCAUUGCCCAUAACUAAUUUCUUGCUCUCCCCAGGUGCCUCAAGAACCUCUUGGGGGCCUUUAUAUUCUGUCAUGCUUACCUAGCUGAUCGGGACAUGGAGUGUCUGUCUUAGUAACCAAGCCUCAGUCAGCUAAAGGAGCUGCAUCUGAUUCAUAUCCUAAUGUGGACCACCAAUCUUGAGCCCCUUGGAGCUCUGCUAGAGAAAGUUGCUGCUACUCUCGAGACCCUCACGUUAAAGGACUGUCAGAUCCAGGACUCCCAACUCAGGCUCCUCCUGCCUGCCCUGAGCCACUGCUCCCAGCUCACCACCUUCUACUUUCAUGGAAACGAGACCUCCAUGAAUGCUCUGAAAGACCUGCUGUGUCACACAGGCGGGCUGAGCAAGUUAGGCCUGGAAUUGUAUCCUUCCCAUCUGGAGAGUCUUGACAACAGGGGUCAUGCCAAUUGGGAGAUCCUUGCCCCAAUUCGGGCUGAGCUGAUGUGUACAGUCAGGGAAGUCAGGCAGCCCAAGAGGAUCUUUUUUGGUCCCGUCCCCUGCCCUUCCUGUGGCUCAUGGCCAUCUGAGAAAGUGGACCUCCAUCUUUGCUCUUA